GGCGCGGCCAGAGGGGGCGCGUGUGCUCCUCCCACGCACCCCGGGGCCGCCCCACCUCCCGCCCUGCCUUCCAGGGAGGACGCGAACUCCGCGGGGAAGGGGCGUCGCCUGCGGCCGGGGCUCCCUGGAGGCCCGAGGUGAAGGUGGAGGGAUGAGGACGCAGCCUCGGUGGCCAUGGAAACCCAGGAGGGCGACUCCGGUGCUAGAGAGAAGAUAGCCCGAGGCCGCGCUGCAGCCGGCCGCGCGCCUGCAGGGGCAGCCAGCCCGGGCCCCGGGCCUGGGUUCGCGGUGCGGUGCGGGCGCGCGGGCUGCCAGGCCGCUCCCGGGGACCCUCCCCCGGCCGCUCCGGCGCCCAGCCGAAUCCUCUUACCUUAAUAGGCAAGAACUGCGAGAAGGCGGCUUCUCGCAGCGGCUCCCCCGCCCCGGCGGCCGGUGCAGGGGUGGUGGACUCCCCGCGUCCGGGCUGGAUUCGCCGACGGGAGAGCUGGAAAGCCGUUCAGAUUCGGUCAUGCGUAGCAGCCAGCCCCAGGGGUGCAGCAAGGAGGGGACAGCCAGGCCUGGUGCUGGUGGUGAACCCAGAUCUUACAGAGCAUCAUGGGGGCUGGAGCCGUGCUAUAGCCACCAUCAGUAGCGCUGGUGUUCCAUAUGGGCACCGGUUUGAGUUCCGGCUCCUCCACUUCUGAUCCAGCUCUCUGCUAUGGUCUGGGAAAGCAGUGGAAGAUGGCCCAAGUCCUUGGGCCCCUGCACCCAUGUGGGAGACCCAGAAGAAGCUCCUGGCUCCUGGCUUCAGAUUGGUGCAGCUCCAGCUGUUGUGGCCAUUUGGGGAAUGAACUAGCGGAUGGAGGAAGGACCUCUUUCUCUCUCUCUGACUUUGCCUCUCUGUAACUCUGCCUUUCAAAUAAAUAAAUAAAUAAAAAUAAAAAAGAACAUCAUUGUCAGAAAAUUCUCUUGUAACUCUUCUCUGUCAGUCUGUACCUCCUCCCCUCCCAGAGAAAAUAUUGUUCCUGUUUUCUCUCCCUAUAAUUUUCCCUGUUUUAGAAUUUUCGUAUAGAUGGAAGUGUAAAUUUUGUAUAAAUUUACCUUUUAAGAAGUUGCCAUAUAAAAUUAUUAAUUAUAAGCUUGAGUAUGUUCAAAAUAUAUCAAUUCUGAUU